GAAGCACAUAAGCAGUAGACACUCUUUGUAAAUUUCGAUGUAACUGGAGCUGUAAUAAUCCAUUUCCGUUGUUUUUGUGACAAUAGAAAUCAAAACUGAUCACUACAGAAAAUUGAUCACUGGCUAAUAAAAAGUAUAGAGGUUACAGACCAAAGAUAUACAAUCAGGCUACCAAGCACUGAGCAAUACUAGCAUACAGAGUACACAUGCUUAUCUUUGCUUCUCUUCCAACCUAAAAACCUCAUAUGAUGUUUUCUUCAUUGUCCAGAAAUUUUCAACUCAUUUUUUUGUUGCACAUAUCAGCUUCAGAUUCGCCUGUAUUGAUGAUAACAUGUCCAUCUUUGUCAGCAGUGCACCGAGUCUUGUUGUUCUCCCUAGCACUGAUUGUUUCC
rnacentral:lncRNA from 1 species